rnacentral:rRNA from 1 species
GAUGAACGCUGGCGGCGUGCCUAAUACAUGCAAGUCGAGCGAACAGACGAGGAGCUUACUCCUCUGACGUUAGCGGCGGACGGGUGAGUAACACGUGGAUAACCUACCUAUAGGACUGGGAUAACUUCGGGAAACCGGAGCUAAUACCGGAUAACAUGUUGAACCGCAUGGUUCAACAGUGAAAGACGGUCUUGCUGUCACUUAUAGAUGGAUCCGCGUCGCAUUAGCUAGUUGGUAAGGUAACGGCUUACCAAGGCAACGAUGCGUAGCCGACCUGAGAGGGUGAUCGGCCACACUGGAACUGAGACACGGUCCAGACUCCUACGGGAGGCAGCAGUAGGGAAUCUUCCGCAAUGGGCGAAAGCCUGACGGAGCAACGCCGCGUGAGUGAAGAAGGUCUUCGGAUCGUAAAACUCUGUUAUUAGGGAAGAACAAAUGUGUAAGUAACUAUGCACGUCUUGACGGUACCUAAUCAGAAAGCCACGGCUAACUACGUG